AUUGAACGCUGGCGGCAUGCUUUACACAUGCAAGUCGAACGGUAACAGGGUGCUUGCACCGCUGACGAGUGGCGAACGGGUGAGUAAUGCGUCGGAACGCACCGAGUAAUGGGGGAUAACGCAGCGAAAGUUGUGCUAAUACCGCAUACGCUCUGAGGAGGAAAGCGGGGGACCUUCGGGCCUCGCGUUAUUCGAGCGGCCGACGUCUGAUUAGCUAGUAGGUGAGGUAAGAGCUCACCUAGGCGACGAUCAGUAGCGGGUCUGAGAGGAUGAUCCGCCACACUGGGACUGAGGCACGGCCCAGACUCCUACGGGAGGCAGCAGUGGGGAAUUUUGGAUAAUGGGCGCAAGCCUGAUCCAGCCAUGCCGCGUGUCUGAAGAAGGCCUUCGGGUUGUAAAGGACUUUUGUCAGGGAGGAAAUCCCUAAGGUUAAUACCCUUGGGGGAUGACAGUACCUGAAGAAUAAGCACCGGCUAACUACGUGCCAGCCGCCGCAGUAA
rnacentral:rRNA from 1 species